ensembl:lncRNA
CUUCAAUCUUCACUACAGCUCGAGGAAUCUUUAGUUGCUGCAUGUGGGGUCUAGUUCCCUGAUCAGGAAUCAAACUGGCCCCCCUGCACUGAAAGCUUGGAGUCUUAGCCACUGGACCAUUAGGGAAGUCCCAGAUCCUUUUUUCAAAGGGAGCUUAUAAUCCCUGGCUUGCAAGAUUGGAGGACCAAAAUAACCUGAGAGAACAAAGUGAAGUGAAAAAGUCACUCAGUCGUGUCUGACUCUUUGCGACCCCAUGGACUACACAGUCCAUGGAAUUCUCCAGGCCAGAAUACUGGAGUCGGUGGCCUUUCCCUUCUCCAGGGGAUCUUCCCAACCCAGGGAUUGAAGCCAGGUGUCCCGCAUUGCAGACGGAUUCUUUACCAGCUGAGCCACCAGGGAAGCCCCCUGAGAGAACAAGGCACGGUCUUAAAAGUCACAGAGUGCUUUACCAGUUGGUGGGGUGUUUGGGAAGUAUUUUACUUUUCUGAUCUUCACUGCUACAGGUUUAAAAAAGGAGGUGGCCAGGCCUUCCCUAUAGCUCAAGGCAGGCCUUUGGUAGCUCAGACUGUCUAGCUUUGGCUCAUCUCCCUUCCCCAUGUAUGAAGUAGACACCUCAGUCUACUUCCUGUGGCCAGAGCUCUCUGAGAAGAUUCUAGGAUGCCGGAUCAUCACUCCUCAAGGGAGAAGAAAACCACCCCCUUGGAGGACUGUCUGUUGUCACACCCAGUAAGUGUAGAGCUGGGACUGUGUGAAGCCGGGCUGUGGGCCCCAGCCCUGCAGCAGCUACUCCACUGUCCAGGACCUGCCCUUGGGCCCCCCAGGGAGCACCAGGGUAGGGCUGGCAUUCCAGCCAGCCCCAGCUCUCAGCGCCCAUCGUGCCCAGCCCAGCGUGUUUACUCCACCCACUGGGGCCUGCUGCUGCUUAACCUACAAAUCCCUGUCCCCCCACCCCACCCCCAUGUCUCCUCUCUCCUCUCCGUCUCUGCGGAAUCUCCAAGCAUGGCCCAUCUGCUGUGUCGGGCACUGCUUCACCAUCUACUUUCUUUAAUCUUCCACAACGCUUGAGUAUUGGUGUGAAGGCUCAGAGAGGUUCGGAAACGUGCCCAAGAUCACACAGUCUGUGUGCAAGUGGUGGAACCCAGAUUCCAGUGUCUCCGUCUGUUUGAUUCCCAAGGCCAUUCUCCCUCUCUCUCCCUCUGCUCCCCUCCCUUGCAGAGGCUGGAGCUCCACAUCUGGCUCCCAAAUGACCCCCUGAGGAGGGAAGGCAAAGGCCUGGGGACCCAGUUUGCAGGGAAGCAGGGAGGGGAGGGGUGGGCAGAGAGACAGAACUGGCCUUCUUCCCUCCAAGUCGGCUCAGAGGCCCUGUCUAGGGUGCCCAGGCGCUGAGCUGCCCUCUUCUGUCCUCCUAGCUUCUUUUGGGAGGCAAUGUGCUUCUCAUUAGGCUGGUGUUGGGUUUUGCAAACCGCACGGUCUAAUUGUGAAGCGUUGGGGGUGUGAGUAAGUGUGCAUCUCGUGUGAGAAGAGCAGUCAGGCCUCUCCCACCUCUUGCAGAGGGGGGCUCCCAAAGCACUGGACACAGCUGUGCCCCAGCCCUCACGGAGUGCCAGCCCAGAGGGGCACGGAAGGGGCUUCCUAAGAGAAAGAAAACCUUUUGAGCAGGGGCCAAUGGGGGCGACACCAGGCCCACAGUCUUCAUCUGCAUCCACCGGGGGAUGGAAGAGACAACCAGCUCCAGGCUCCUCUAGUUACCUCCCCUCUGAUUAGGGCUCCCCAAGGUUAGGGCUGGGCGCCCUCAGGACAGUCUUCCAGCCCUGGGGCUCCCUCCUCAGCCUGUCCCCACACCCAGCAGGAGGGAAGCAAAGGGGCUGCACCCCCGCCCUGUUCCGCAAUGCUGGGUUC